CUAAAAAUAUAAGAUAUAAGGGAUUUAUUUUUUAAAUAUCCCAGUAAUACCCUUAUAUUUAACCGGACGUUUAUGUAGCGUUAUUAAACGUUAUGUCCAUUUAAUAAAUCACGUCCCUUGAAGAUAGGAAUUAUGUUUCAAUCACGUUCUAUCGUGAUAGUAACUGUAUCUUUAUGUAAUCUCAUUAAAUAUACUGCACGAUGUGAAAAAGA
rnacentral:lncRNA from 1 species